rnacentral:rRNA from 1 species
AGAGUUUGAUCCUGGCUCAGGAUGAACGCUGGCGGUAUGCUUAACACAUGCAAGUCGUACGCAAGUUUUUAACUUGAGUGGCGGACGGGUGAGUAACGCGUGAGAAUUCACCUUUAGGGAGGGGAUAACAAUUAGAAAUGAUUGCUAAUACCGUAUAUGCUUAUGUAGUGAAAGGAGUAAUCCCCCUAGAGAGAAGCUCGCGUCUGAUUAGCUAGUUGGUAAGGUAAUGGCUUACAAAGGCGACGAUCAGUAGCUGGUUUGAGAGAGCGAUCAGCCACACUGGAACUGAGACACGGUCCAGACUCCUACGGGAGGCAGCAGUGGGGAAUUUUCCGCAAUGGGCGAAAGCCUGACGGAGCAAUACCGCGUGAGGGAUGAAAGCCUAUGGGUUGUAAACCUCUUUUGUCAAGGAGGAAGUUCUGACGUUACUUGACGAAUAAGCAUCGGCUAACUCCGUGCCAGCAGCCGCGGUAAUACGGAGGAUGCAAGUGUUAUCCGGAAUCACUGGGCGUAAAGAGUCUGUAGGUGGUUUAAAAAGUCCACUAUUAAAGGUUGAAGCUUAACUUCAAAAAUGUCGUGGAAACUUUUAGACUUGAGUAUGGUAGGGGUAGAGGGAACUUCCAGUGGAGCGGUGAAAUGCGUAGAUAUUGGAAAGACCAUCAAUGGCGAAGGCACUCUACUGGGCCAUUACUGACACU